UUUUUUAUGAAAAAUGAUAUAUUAUUAUAUUUUUAUAUUAAUAUAUAUCUUUUAUUCAUAAAAAUCGAUAUAAAUCUUGCAAUAUAUUAAAUCAUAUAGAAAAGAAACUUUUUAAUAUUUAUAAAGAUUUUUUAUAUGAAAAAUACUUUAAAUACCAAUUUUUAGAAUUUUAUAGAAUAAACAUUAAAUAUACCUUUAUAUAAUAGAAAAUUUAGAAUUCACCAUUUUUUCUAAAAAAUUAAAAAAU
rnacentral:tRNA from 1 species